GGUGGGGUGACGGAGCUGGUCGAUCGUGGCGGUCUCGAAAACCGUUGUACCCUUCGGGGUACCGUGGGUUCGAAUCCCACCCCCACCGCCA
rnacentral:tRNA from 1 species